AACUGAAGAGUUUGAUCAUGGCUCAGAUUGAACGCUGGCGGCAGGCUUAACACAUGCAAGUCGAGCGGGGGAAGGUAGCUUGCUACUGGACCUAGCGGCGGACGGGUGAGUAAUGCUUAGGAAUCUGCCUAUUAGUGGGGGACAACAUCUCGAAAGGGAUGCUAAUACCGCAUACGUCCUACGGGAGAAAGCAGGGGAUCUUCGGACCUUGCGCUAAUAGAUGAGCCUAAGUCGGAUUAGCUAGUUGGUGGGGUAAAGGCCUACCAAGGCGACGAUCUGUAGCGGGUCUGAGAGGAUGAUCCGCCACACUGGGACUGAGACACGGCCCAGACUCCUACGGGAGGCAGCAGUGGGGAAUAUUGGACAAUGGGGGGAACCCUGAUCCAGCCAUGCCGCGUGUGUGAAGAAGGCCUUAUGGUUGUAAAGCACUUUAAGCGAGGAGGAGGCUACUUUAGUUAAUACCUAGAGAUAGUGGACGUUACUCGCAGAAUAAGCACCGGCUAACUCUGUGCCAGCAGCCGCGGUAAUACAGAGGGUGCGAGCGUUAAUCGGAUUUACUGGGCGUAAAGCGUGCGUAGGCGGCUUAUUAAGUCGGAUGUGAAAUCCCCGAGCUUAACUUGGGAAUUGCAUUCGAUACUGGUGAGCUAGAGUAUGGGAGAGGAUGGUAGAAUUCCAGGUGUAGCGGUGAAAUGCGUAGAGAUCUGGAGGAAUACCGAUGGCGAAGGCAGCCAUCUGGCCUAAUACUGACGCUGAGGUACGAAAGCAUGGGGAGCAAACAGGAUUAGAUACCCUGGUAGUCCAUGCCGUAAACGAUGUCUACUAGCCGUUGGGGCCUUUGAGGCUUUAGUGGCGCAGCUAACGCGAUAAGUAGACCGCCUGGGGAGUACGGUCGCAAGACUAAAACUCAAAUGAAUUGACGGGGGCCCGCACAAGCGGUGGAGCAUGUGGUUUAAUUCGAUGCAACGCGAAGAACCUUACCUGGCCUUGACAUACUAGAAACUUUCCAGAGAUGGAUUGGUGCCUUCGGGAAUCUAGAUACAGGUGCUGCAUGGCUGUCGUCAGCUCGUGUCGUGAGAUGUUGGGUUAAGUCCCGCAACGAGCGCAACCCUUUUCCUUACUUGCCAGCAUUUCGGAUGGGAA
rnacentral:rRNA from 1 species